UGAGGAAGAUAAUGACGGUACUCAACAAGGAAGUGACGGCUAACUACGUGCCAGCAGCCGCGGUAAAACGUAGGUCACAAGCGUUGUCCGGAAUUACUGGGUGUAAAGGGAGCGCAGGCGGGAAGACAAGUUGGAAGUGAAAUCCAUGGGCUCAACCCAUGAACUGCUUUCAAAACUGUUUUUCUUGAGUAGUGCAGAGGUAGGCGGAAUUCCCGGUGUAGCGGUGGAAUGCGUAGAUAUCGGGAGGAACACCAGUGGCGAAGGCGGCCUACUGGGCACCAACUGACGCUGAGGCUCGAAAGUGUGGGUAGCAAACAGGAUUAGAUACCCUGGUAGUCCACACUGUAAACGAUGAUUACUAGGUGUUGGAGGAUUGACCCCUUCAGUGCCGCAGUUAACACAAUAAGUAAUCCACCUGGGGAGUACGACCGCAAGGUUGAAACUCAAAGGAAUUGACGGGGGCCCGCACAAGCAGUGGAGUAUGUGGUUUAAUUCGACGCAACGCGAAGAACCUUACCAAGUCUUGACAUCCCUUGACGAUGCUGGAAACAGUAUUUCUCUUCGGAGCAAGGAGACAGGUGGUGCAUGGUUGUCGUCAGCUCGUGUCGUGAGAUGUUGGGUUAAGUCCCGCAACGAGCGCAACCCUUAUGGUCAGUUACUACGCAAGAGGACUCUGGCCAGACUG
rnacentral:rRNA from 1 species